AUGAACGCUGGCGGCGUGCCUAACACAUGCAAGUCGAACGGACAUUUUUUGGAAAGCUCUUCGGAACUGGAAUCUAAAUGUUAGUGGCGGACGGGUGAGUAACGCGUGAGCAAUCUGCCUUUCAGAGGGGGAUAACAGCCGGAAACGGCUGCUAAUACCGCAUAAUGCAUUCGGAUUCGCAUGUUUCUGAUGCCAAAGAUUUUAUCGCUGAAAGAUGAGCUCGCGUCUGAUUAGCUAGUUGGCGGGGUAACGGCCCACCAAGGCGACGAUCAGUAGCCGGACUGAGAGGUUGAACGGCCACAUUGGGACUGAGACACGGCCCAG
rnacentral:rRNA from 1 species